AAACAAGAAUGUGUCCAUAGUACACGGAUGCCCCACUCCCACUAUCAUUUUCUAUGUUCAGUGGACCGUGAAAUUGGAGUAAAAACUUUAAUUUGGAAUUGAAAUUAGAAAGAUCAUAUCAUAGGGAACAUGUGUACUAAGUUUCAAGUUGAUGUAACUUUAACUUCAUCAAAAACUACCUUGACCAAAAACUUUAACCUGAACUUUGCACUAUCAUUUUCUAUGUUCAGUGGACCAUGAAAUUGGGGUAAAAACUAUAAUUUGGCAUUAAAAUUAGAGAGAUCAUAUCAUGGGGAACAUGUGUAUUAAGUUUCAAGUUGAUUGGACUUCAGCUUCAUCAAAAACUACCUCGACCAAAAACUUUAACCGGACGGACGAACGGAGGCACAGACGGACGGACGGACGGACGGACGGACGGACGGACGGAGGCACAGACCAGAAAACAUAAUGCCCCUCUACUAUCGUAGGUGGGGCAUAAAAAAU
rnacentral:lncRNA from 1 species